AUCGAGCAUGAAACUGAAAAUUUCAUUUUCCCCAGACCAAUAUAGCAGGCUUGAUAUGACCUUCUCUGCCUUCCUACAGGUUUGAGAGAUGGUCUUUGACACUACUAUCUACAUGGUGACAGAUUUACCUGAAGACGGCAGUGUGUUCACCCAUCUGGGAAAAAUGAAUGCCGAACAUACAAAAAGACAAAAUAAAAAAAAAUAAAGAAAAUAAGAGUUUCUGGUUAAGAAGAACUUCCCACCAAGAAAAUCUGGAUAAAAGUAAGUAUGCAGUAGAAAACUGAGAUUCAUGAUACAGUAUACUAGAAAAUGCCCUUCAGAGGGUAGCGAGGGUCCUGCAGUUAGGCAGUGGCACCUCAUUUUCCUUUCCUGUGUAUUCUCUUAAGGACCAAGGACAUCACUUUUAUUCUCUGCCAAGAUUCUAUCAUAAGAUAUUUACAAACAAUAUGUAGUCAUUGAGAAAUUAUGUUAUUUUCAUCUAGGGCUGUAAUAAUAUGUCAUGAACAAAGGAAAUUAUUAAAUCUUAAAUUCAAAUGCCUGCAGAUAAUUAAGUAAUAUGUCACACAUUAUGUCUUAAUUUUGAAUAUGUAUAUAUUUCAUUCAUAUUUUAAUGUGAAUUAUCUGUGUAAAACGGAUAAAAUGGGACACACUAUCUUUCUUGCCAUCUGUACAAUCCACUUUUGACUAUUUAAUUCAGUUUCAUCUAUUACUGACAUCUCUUCUUUCUUGUUAAUAGAAUAGUUUUGCUUAACUAUGAUGUGUGGGUUUAUAUCCAAACCUUAGAAGUGCUCCGAGUUUGGGGUGUUAUGGAGUAGAGUUUUCAUUUUAUAAAAUAGAAGUUUUU
rnacentral:lncRNA from 1 species